UGGGGAAUCUUGGACAAUGGGGGAAACCCUGAUCCAGCGAUGCCGCGUGUGUGAAGAAGGCCUAUGGGUUGUAAAGCACUUUUAGUGAUGAAGAAAUGCCUUGAAUGAAUAGUUCGGGGUUAUGACGUUAGUCACAGAAAAAGCACCGGCUAACUCUGUGCCAGCAGCCGCGGUAAUACAGAGGGUGCAAGCGUUAAUCGGAAUGACUGGGCGUAAAGGGCACGUAGGCGGUUCGAUAAGUUAGAUGUGAAAUACCUAGGCUUAACCUAGACUUGUCAUUUAAUACUGUCGGGCUAGAGGUCAGUAGAGGGGAGUGGAAUUUCCGGUGUAGCAGUGAAAUGCGUAGAGAUCGGAAGGAACACCAGUGGCGAAGGCGACUCUCUGGACUGAUUCUGACGCUGAGGUGCGAAAGCGUGGGGAGCAAACAGG
rnacentral:rRNA from 1 species